rnacentral:rRNA from 1 species
GAUGAACGCUGGCGGCGUGCCUAAUACAUGCAAGUCGAGCGAACAGACGAGGAGCUUGCUCCUCUGACGUUAGCGGCGGACGGGUGAGUAACACGUGGAUAACCUACCUAUAAGACUGGGAUAACUUCGGGAAACCGGAGCUAAUACCGGAUAAUAUAUUGAACCGCAUGGUUCAAUAGUGAAAGACGGUUUUGCGGUCAAUGAUAGAUGGAUCCGCGCCGCAUUAGCUAGUUGGUAAGGUAACGGCUUACCAAGGCAACGAUGCGUAGCCGACCUGAGGGGGUGGUCGGCCACCCUGUAGCUGCGACGCGGUCCAGCCUCCUACGGGAGGCAGCAGUAGGGAGUCUUCCGGAAUGGGCGAAAGCCUGCCGAUGCAACGCCGCGUGGGUGAUGAAGGUCUUCGGCUCGUAAAACUCUCUUAUUGGGGGAGACCAAAUGUGUACGUAACUAUGCGCGUUUUGACGGUACCUGAUCAGAAGGCCCCGGCUACCUCCGU